rnacentral:rRNA from 1 species
CGAACGCUGGCGGUGCGCCUUAUGCAUGCAAGUCGAGCGAAGCUUUUCAGUAGUUUACUACAGAAAAUGACUGAGCGGCGAACGGGUGAGUAACGCGUGAGCAACCUACCUUAGUUACUGGGAUAGCCCGAGGAAACUCGGAUUAAUACCGGAUAUUCUUAUUUAAUCACAUGAUUUUUUAAGGAAAGGUCAGCCGAACUAAGAUGGGCUCGCGUUCUAUCAGCUAGUUGGUAGGGUAAUGGCCUACCAAGGCUACGACGGAUAGCUGGUCUGAGAGGACGAUCAGCCACACUGGGACUGAGACACGGCCCAGACUCCUACGGGAGGCUGCAGCAGGGAAUAUUGCGCAAUGAGCGAAAGCUUGACGCAGCGACACCGCGUGUGGGAUGACGGAUCUAGGUUUGUAAACCACUUUCAGGAGGGAAGAAAAUGACGGUACCUCCACAAGAAGCCCCGG